AUGUCCCGCGCCUUUCUUCGCCGGCUCCGGCGCCGGCGGCUGCUCCUCCGUCCCUCGCUCCACACCGUCUUUCUCCGCCUCCACGGCGCCCUGGCAAGUCGUGCCGACCAGUAUCCAGUAGCCCCAGCCCCCCGCACUGCCGAUGACCAGGCACGCGCGGUGCUCGACGAACGGCCGCACCGGGACGCCGUCGCCUACGCCGCCACUGUCGACCUCCACCUGAGGUCCCGCGACCUCCCCCGUGCGGAGGCGCUCUUCCGCGCGGCGCCCGCGUCCGCCCGCGGCCCCCAUCUGGAUGCAGUGAUGCUGGACGGGCACCUCAAGGCCGGCCGCGUCGACCGCGCCCGCAGCCUGUUCGACGGAAUGGCGGUCAAGAGCGUGGCGGCGUGGACCUGCCUGGUCUCCGGGUACUGCCGCGCGGGGCGCGUCGAAGAGGCGCGCGCGCUGUUCGACGCGAUGCCGGCCCGCAACGUCGUCUCCUGGACGGCGAUGGUGCAGGGGUACGCGCGCAGCGGCAUGCUGAGGGAGGCGAGGGAGCUGUUCGACCAGAUGCCGGAGAGGAACGUGGUCACCUGGACGGUCAUGGUGAAGGCCUACGCCGACCACGGCCACCUCCAGGAGGCCGCGGAGCUGUUCGACAGGAUGCCCCAGAGGAACUCGUAUUCUUGGAGCGCCAUGAUCUCCGGUUUCCUCCGUGCUGGGAAAGUGGACGAGGCGGUUCGGCUGUUCGAGAGGAUGCCGGAUAGGAACGUGGUUUCCUGGACCACGAUGGUCACUGGCUUGGCGCAGAACGGUCGUGUUUCGAUGGCGAGAGAGUUCUUCGACAGAAUGCCGAGAAACAAGGACAUUGCGGCGUGGAAUGCGAUGGUCACUGCUUAUGCCAAUGAUGGCCAGAUGAACGAGGCUCAGAGACUGUUUGAUUCGAUGCCCGCAAAGAACCUGGUGAGCUGGAAUGCCCUGAUCCAUGGCUAUGCCAAGGACGAGCGUAAGGAUGAAAUCAUUGGUUUAUUUCUUCUCAUGCUCCGGUCAGCGGUAUCUCCUGACAUCACCACAUUGAUCAGUGUCUUGGUUACAUCCAACAGCACAUCUGAAGUUGGGCAAAUCCAUGGCCUCGCUACCACACGAGGUCUCCUGUCAGACACCUCCUUAGGAAACGCUCUGCUCACCAUGUACUCAAGGAGUGGCGACCUGCGCUCUGCCUGGCAAGCUUUCAAGAUGCUACAAGAGAAAGAUGCCAUCACAUGGACAUCGAUGAUGCAAGCCUUCGCAAACCAUGGCCAUGCCUCGUACGCGCUGCAGGCCUUUGGUCAGAUGCUGCAGCAUGGAUAUAAGCCCAGCUCGACCACGUUCACCGCUGUGCUGUCAGCCUGCAGCCAUGCCGGUCUUGUCGACAAAGGCUGGGCAAUCUUCGCAUCAAUUCGCCGAGCCUAUGGGCUUGAGCCGACUAUCGAGCACCACACCUGCCUCGUUGACAUCCUCGGCCGUGCAGGGCAUGUGAGGGAAGCAAUGGAGGUCAUCGCUGCCAUGCCAUUGGAUAUGCAUGACGACGCUGUCGCGAGGACGCUGCUGGGAGCCUGCAUGAUGCAUAAUAAGGUAGAUGCAGCCAGGGAAGUGGGGGAGGCUCUUGCCAAGUCUGACGGCUCCUUUGGUUCAGAUUCAGAGGGCUACUACAAGGUUCUGGCCAAUGUGUUUGCGUCAGGUGGGAUGUGGGAGGAGAUGGCAGGUGUGUGGAAGGCUAUGAAGGGGAGCAAGGUGAGGAAGAUGCCUGGGGUUAGCCUGAUCGUGGUGGAUGCGAGGUCCCACUCGUUUUUCUCCAGGGAUCAGGGGCAUCCGCAGUGUGCAGAGAUAUAUGAGAUGCUGGACGACACGCUUGUCCCCCAGAUGAUGAAUAAGGAUCGACCGACUGAAACAGUGUGA
rnacentral:rRNA from 1 species